rnacentral:snoRNA from 1 species
UUUUUGUGAUGAAUGUAAUUACCGUACGAUUUCUUUGAUUAAAAACAUUAUGGCUGCAAAUUUUGCAACUGA